rnacentral:rRNA from 1 species
UAGUCCACGCCGUAAACGAUGGAUACUCGGUGCUGCCGGACUUGUCUGGCAGUGCCCAGGCUAACGCAUUAAGUAUCCCACCUGGGGAGUACGAUCGCAAGAUUGAAACUCAAAGGAAUUGACGGGGGCCCGCACAAGCGGUGGAGCAUGUGGCUUAAUUCGAUGCAACGCGAGGAACCUUACCUGGGCUCGAAUGCUACCGGACAAGCUCUGAAAGGAGCCUUCCUUCGGGUCGGUAGUAAGGUGCUGCAUGGCUGUCGUCAGUUCGUGUCGUGAGAUGUUGGGUUAAGUCCCGCAACGAGCGCAACCCUCAUUUUUAGUGCCUUAUGGAACUCUAAAAAGACUGCCGGUUAUAAACCGGAGGAAGGCGGGGACGACGGUCAAAGUCAGCACGCCCCUUACACCCUGGGCUACACACGUGCUACAAUGGACGAGACAAUGAGAUGCAAAUCUGCGAAGGCUAGCUAAUCUAUAAACUCGUUCUAAGUUCGGAUUGCUAGG